UACGAAGGGGGCUAGCGUUGCUCGGAAUCACUGGGCGUAAAGCGCACGUAGGCGGACUCUUAAGUCGGUGGUGAAAGCCCCGGGCUCAACCUGGGAAUUGCAUUCGAGACUGAAUAGCUAGGGUACGGUAGAGGGAAGUGGAAUUUCCGGUGUAGCGGUGAAAUGCGUAGAUAUCGGAAGGAACAUCAGUGGCGAAAGCGACUUCCUGGACCAGUACCGACGUUCAGGCACGAAAGCGUGGGGAGCAAACAGG
rnacentral:rRNA from 1 species